UUCCGGUCGACGUCCGUGUUGUCAAAAACGUCACUUAAACAAUAAAUACUAUAAAUUAGGAUGGACUUUUAUAUAAAGAAUACAAAUAAAGAUGAUUAUAAAGUUGAGUUUUAUCAGGUAUAAAGCCUCUUCACGUGACAUAUUAGCGUUGACACAAUUCAAUAAGUUGACAUGAUUUGCCAAUAAGCUAAUGAAUUAUUCGAGUGCUUGAAUGUAUGUAUUGACUUUUAAUAGUUUAUUAUUCUGUGUAAUUGUAAAAGUUCAUAACUUUAUACAAUUUCCAUAUUAUACAAAUAGAUUAAAACCUGUCAUAAGUUACGAAGUAAUAUAAAAAUGUCAUAAUUGUGAUUCUAAACUAUAAUAAUCCUGUCAAGCUAUGAUAAUCUUACAUUUCCUUUUAGUUUUUACAGUAAUAUCAGUUUUGGUGUGUUGAAACACCACAAAAAUUUAUUACUUUUUAUCUCCAAAUAAGAAAAUAAUACAUUUUCGUGGUGUUCCCACAAACCAAAACUGAUAAUCCUACAUUUCCUAAUUAAAUCAUCUUGUAUGACUCGUUUGUAAAAAUAGUAAAUAUACAGCUCAAAUUUACAGUAAGAAAGCGGCAUAUAAAUAAUACGAAAGCUAUAGGUAUCUUGAUUGAAUUU
rnacentral:lncRNA from 1 species